AAGUAGUGCUCACUAGUUAGAGUGGUGCCAAGAAGCAUUGUUUAGUGUUGGUAGUUUCAGUGCUUGGUAAGCGUGCAAAGAUGGAGACGAUUAUCGAUACAUUCGGCAGCUCACUUUUCAUGACCAUCAUUCCGUCCGCAAGCAAGUUAUUCUUUCCAAAUUUUGGGGAGCUGUUACUUUCUUACCCAUCUGUAGAUCCAUGUAGUUAGUUUUGUGCAAAAUUGUCUUGUGCUUCGUGCAAUAGCCGCCGAUUAUAGGUGUCUGGCGAAGAUAGGUUACUUACUCUAUCUGUAGAUCCAUGUAGUUAGUUUUGUGCAAAAUUGUCUUGUGCUUCGUGCAAUAGCCGCCGAUUAUAGAGGUCUAGAUGUUGUCACAAGAAUGAACUAAUGAUAAAGCAUCAAUUUCCUGAUGACCAAGAGGCAGAAGCACUUGUAGCCCAACAGAAGGUUAAGGUUGGAGAGAACAUAUCAAGUACUGUGGCUCACAAACAACGGAGUUGCGGAGGUACAGAUGACGAGACUCGUGGCUCUGUCUCUGGGAAGGGCCCGCUAAAGAAGCAAAGCUCCCACCAGCUCACUUUGGGACUGUGGGUGUGGCUAUCAUAUGUGCACUGACCCUGGUUACAUGUGUGCGUCACGGAAGAGGCUAUACUUCUACUACUCUCCAUCCCUCUCUGGCUUAUAAGUACCGGUGGCUUGAUAGAGGCACACCCUGGAUCAGAGCUCUUGCAGACAGACUGGCAUACCCCCAGAUGUUUCAUAAUCUAGGACUAGCUGCAUACUGUGGUGUCUUCCUCAUCCCCCCUGACUACAUUGAUCUACCAAUAUCAACCGACCCAACUUAAUUUGAACACCAUCGGGACCUCUCUAGCUGCUGAACCUUCAGGUGGACACUCGCCCCUCAUUGAUGAUUCAGAACCAGCAGUCCCUACUACAUCCCAAACUUAUAGUUUUAAUUACUGUGUAGACUCCUAAUAAGACUUAUUUGCAUUUUUAAAGGUAUCAAUAGAUCACUCAUAAUUAUAUCAGGUUCUCUAUUGUGAAUUGCAAGUUUUCACCUGAUCGCAAACGAAAACUGAGCAAUAUCACAUACCGUCUUUAUUCAAUUUUAAGUGACACUUUUUUA